UACGUAGGGGGCAAGCGUUGUCCGGAUUUACUGGGCGUAAAGAGCGUGUAGGCGGCCACGCAGGUCCGUUGUGAAAACUGGAGGCUCAACCUCCAGACGUCGACGGAAACCGUAUGGCUAGAGUCCGGAAGAGGAGAGUGGAAUUCCUGGUGUAGCGGUGAAAUGCGCAGAUAUCAGGAAGAACACCAAUGGCGAAGGCAGGUCUCUGGGCCGAUAAUGACGCUGAGGAGCGAAAGCGUGGGGAGCGAACAGG
rnacentral:rRNA from 1 species